UACGUAGGGGGCGAGCGUUGUCCGGAUUUAUUGGGCGUAAAGCGUGCGUAGGCGGCUGCGCAAGUCGGUUGUGAAACCCCGGGGCUCAACCCCGGAACUGCAUCCGAUACUGCGUGGCUAGAGGUAGGUAGGGGAGAUCGGAAUUCCUGGUGUAGCGGUGAAAUGCGCAGAUAUCAGGAAGAACACCAACGGCGAAGGCAGCUCGCUGGGACGGUACUGACGCUAAGGCGCGAAAGCGUGGGGAGCGAACAGG
rnacentral:rRNA from 1 species